rnacentral:rRNA from 1 species
AGGAAUAUUGCACAAUGGGCGCAAGCCUGAUGCAGCAACACCGCGUGCGGGACGAAGGCCUUCGGGUCGUAAACCGCUUUUCUGGGGAAAGAGCAAGGACGGUACCUCAGGAAUAAGUCUCGGCUAACUACGUGCCAGCAGCCGCGGUAAAACGUAGGAGGCGAGCGUUAUCCGGAUUUACUGGGCGUAAAGCGCACGCAGGCGGCUCUGUGAGUCGGACGUGAAAGCUUCCAGCUUAACCGGGAGAGGCCGUUCGAUACUGCGGGGCUUGAGGUAGGGAGAGGAAUGCGGAAUUCCCGGUGUAGUGGUGGAAUGCGUAGAUAUCGGGAGGAACACCUGUGGCGAAAGCGGCAUUCUGGCCCUCACCUGACGCUGAGGUGCGAAAGCGUGGGUAGCAAACAG